CUUCAUGCAGGCGAGUUGCAGCGGUAGAGAGAAGCUUGCUUCUCUUGAGAGCGGCGGACGGGUGAGUAACGCGUGAGAAUCUGGCUCCAGGUCGGGGAUAACAGUUGGAAACGACUGCUAAUACCGGAUGUGCCGAGAGGUGAAAGAUUUAUUGCCUGGAGAUGAGCUCGCGUCUGAUUAGCUAGUUGGUGGUGUAAGGGACCACCAAGGCGUCGAUCAGUAGCUGGUCUGAGAGGAUGAUCAGCCACACUGGGACUGAGACACGGCCCAGACUCCUACGGGAGGCAGCAGUGGGGAAUUUUCCGCAAUGGGCGAAAGCCUGACGGAGCAGUACCGCGUGAGGGAGGAAGGCUCUUGGGUCGUAAACCUCUUUUCUCAAGGAAGAAGAAAGUGACGGUACUUGAGGAAUAAGCAUCGGCUAACUCCGUGCCAGCGGCCGCGGUAAUACGGAGGAUGCAAGCGUUAUCCGGAAUGAUUGGGCGUAAAGGGUCUGCAGGUGGAACUGAAAGUCUGCUGUUAAAGAGUUUGGCUUAACCAAAUAAAAGCGGUGGAAACUACAGAACUAGAGUGUGGUAGGGGCAAAAGGAAUUCCUGGUGUAGCGGUGAAAUGCGUAGAUAUCAGGAAGAACACCGGUGGCGAAAGCGUUUUGCUAGACCGUAACUGACACUGAGGGACGAAAGCUAGGGGAGCGAAUGGGAUUAGAUACCCCAGUAGUCCUAGCCGUAAACGAUGGAUACUAGGCGUGGCUUGUAUCGACCCGAGCCGUGCCGGAGCUAACGCGUUAAGUAUCCCGCCUGGGGAGUACGCACGCAAGUGUGAAACUCAAAGGAAUUGACGGGGGCCCGCACAAGCGGUGGAGUAUGUGGUUUAAUUCGAUGCAACGCGAAGAACCUUACCAAGACUUGACAUCCUGCGAAUCCUGGUGAAAGCUGGGAGUGCCUUAGGGAGCGCAGAGACAGGUGGUGCAUGGCUGUCGUCAGCUCGUGUCGUGAGAUGUUGGGUUAAGUCCCGCAACGAGCGCAACCCUCGUUUUUAGUUGCCAGCAUUAAGUUGGGCACUCUAGAGAGACUGCCGGUGACAAACCGGAGGAAGGUGAGGAUGACGUCAAGUCAGCAUGCCCCUUACGUCUUGGGCUACACACGUACUACAAUGCUACGGACAGAGGGCAGCGAGCCAGGGAUGGCAAGCGAAUCCAGAAACCGUAGCUCAGUUCAGAUCGAAGGCUGCAACUCGCCUGCGUGAAG
rnacentral:rRNA from 1 species